rnacentral:tRNA from 1 species
GUCCCUGUAGCGCAAUGGAUAGCGCGUUGGACUUCUAAUCCAAAGGUGGAGGGUUCGAAUCCCACCUGGAACG